rnacentral:tRNA from 1 species
UAUACAUUGGUGUAUAGUGCAUAAUAAAUUUUGAUUUUGAAGGAGGUGGUGUGAGCCCGCCGUGUAUAA